AGAUCAGUAGGUGCCUUCAACAUACUGCCUGGGGAGAUGAUGGAACCAGGCUCUAAAUUGGAUGUCUCACUAUCCAAAUGAGAGUAUUUUGUUGUGAAAAGGUGGACACUGAAUUGUAGAUCUGCAGGAAGAUCUUCAGCCAACAACCAACUCAGGACUGGGUGUUCAAGCAGUUAUUUACACCACCAAGUUAUUUAACUUGGUUUAACAAGUGGCUUUAGACAUGGUAUUUCACCAUG